UUUCAAUGUCCUUUAUCAAAUUAUCAAUUUAUUGCUUUUGCUGCAGGCAGUUUCUUCUUCCAUCUAUACCCAGAUACCUCAGGAGGGAUACUGCUGAAACUGGAUUGAGCAACCUGGUCUGAAAUAAAUUUGACUUUCCACUCUGAAUGGCAGGUUACACCCGAGGAUAUCCUAAAAUCCCUUCCAACCUGAGUUAUUCUACCAUUCUGUGUUAUACUGAAGAGGCAUCAGAAUAGCCCCCAAGUAACCAAGGGUGUGUUUGAAAUUUCAGGUAUACUGGAAAUGCAAACAGCUGCCACAAUACAAGAAGAAGUAAAAUUGUACCUUCUAGCAUUAACUGACUUGAAUAAAAUCUCCUGCUUUUCUAAGAAAACAAAAGAGGAGAAACAGAUGGGAGUGAAUUAGGAAGAGAAAAAUCUAUUAUUGUGAUGCUUUAAUCCAUUGAAAAAUGUGAACCUGAAAGUGUAGUAAUAAAAGUUCAGGGAGUUUAUUUCAGGAGGAUUUAGGUGCUAGCAAGUAUUUUCUGAGGCUGCAGGUUAUACUGGCCUGAAGAAUGACAGCAGGGCAGUAAGCUCUGGAGUGUUGCAUCAGUGAUUCUGCACACCACAGCCUAAGCCAGAGCUGAUGAAAUAUUUUCUCUUGACUGAGAGUCCAGCUGCUCUUUCUAGGAUGCAGUGUUUCAGGACUGUAGAAGAACAUGUGGUACAGUUAGAUGGAAGGAACCCUCCAAAAUCAUCAGAAUAUGUGCCUGAAGGACAACAUCCUGUGUCAGAGUGACCCACACUCCAGCAGUUUGCAGAGAACUGUUGCCUGUGAGAUGAACUCACAUUGGAGAAGUUAAUGGAGAACUAACUCCUGUGAGAUGGACCCCACAAUGCAGCAGGGGAAGGACUCUUCUUCCUGAGCAGUGGCAGAAACAGUGUGUGAUGAACUGACCGUAACCACCCAUGCCCUGCCUUCCUGCAUCUCUGAGGGGGAGGAGGUAGAGGGGGGAAGGAGGAAGUGGCAGAGAGAAGCUGAGAAGUGGAGUAACAGAGCAGACACCCUUUGGUGGGUAUCUGGCAUCCAGCCAGGGUCAACACACUCAAAUGUCAAUGACGUUUUGGAAACUCAAAGUCACAGGCACCCUGUACUACCAAACCUCUGUGUGUAAGUUAUGGAAAAGGAUUUGAUUGGUUUGCAAGCUAACAAAAUAAGUUACUUGAUUACUGAUGAUCAUGAGUGAAGGUAUGGAAGAAUGAAGAUAUAGAGGAGUGAAGAUGUAGAUGUCAAUUAAUGCAUAAUUAAAAUGACUGAUUAAUGAUCAAGGCACUAUUUUCACUUCCUGUGCUGAGGAAUCCUUCCCCAAAUAUUAUUGAUUCUCUGUUCAGGCUUUGACUUCUUUGUACAGCUCUGUUACUCUAAUAUCUAGAAAGGCAGAUGCUGCCAUUACAUACCAAGGAAACAUCUUGUGUUGGGUCAAAGGGUGUCACAUCAACAGGAUCAGCUUUGUUGCUAUUACGGUGCCCACAGACAAUUUAAUCGUCUCCAAUAACUCCAUGGAAAGAAUCUGGGUCUGUACUUCAACCUACACAGAGUGGUGAUAUAAAACUACUUAAUUAUUCUGCUAAGAUAAAAACAAAUGAGGAAGAAGAGUGAAAGCAUACACAGACACAUACAUAAAUAAAACUUUGUCUUCUUGUGAG